ensembl:misc_RNA Y_RNA Y RNA
GGCUGGUCUGGGGGUAGUGAGUUAUCUCAAUUGACCAUUCACAGCCAGUUACAGAUUGAACUCCUUGUUCUCUACUCUUUCCCCCCUUUUCACUACUGUACUUGACUAGUCUUAA